CCUAAGGGCUUUGUAUUUUCAAAUGAGUGUGAAGAUCUCUGCUCUGCUUUGGUGUGGACUUUCUUCCAAAUGUCUCUAUAAUGAUUCCAUUCAAAUCUCUUCGAAAGCUCAACGAUUGGAGGCUCCUGGGCUGGAGAGGGACAGAAGAGAUCCUAGCAUGGAGCUCUGUGGAGUACGUGCUUGAGAAAUAACUGUUUGAACCUGACAAACAUUUAAUCUGUCCACGUGGCCCCUGCCUUCUUCCCCGAUCUAAGGAUGCCGAAAUAAAGGCAGAAAAGAAUCACGAGGGAACUCUCUUUAAAGUCAAAUCCAGUCACUCUCUCUGGCAGAUCCAAAUUAAUAUGCUCGCACAGGCAGGUUGCCGUGGUCCACAGAGAAGUCUGUACUGGUUCCCUU